rnacentral:rRNA from 1 species
ACGCGUGAGAAUCUGCCUUCAGAUUGGGGACAACAGUUGGAAACGACUGCUAAUACCGGAUAUGCCGAGAGGUAAAAGAUUUAUUGUCUGAAGAUGAGCUCGCGUCAGAUUAGCUAGUUGGAGUGGUAACGGCACACCAAGGCGACGAUCUGUAUUUGGUCUGAGAGGAUGACCAGACACACUGGGACUGAGACACGGCCCAGACUCCUACGGGAGGCAGCAGUGGGGAAUUUUCCGCAAUGGGCGAAAGCCUGACGGAGCAAUACCGCGUGCGGGAGGAAGCUUUUUGGAGUGUAAACCGCUUUUCUCUGGGAAGAUAAUGACGGUACCAGAGGAAUCAGCAUCGGCUAACUUCGUGCCAGCAGCCGCGGUAAUACGAGGGAUGCAAGCGUUAUCCGGAAUUAUUGGGCGUAAAGCGUUCGUAGGUGGCUAGAUAAGUCUGUCGUCAAAGCAUGGAGCUUAACUCCAUUAAGGCGAUGGAAACUGUUUGGCUAGAGUGUGGUAGGGGUAACAGGAAUUCCCAGUGUAGCGGUGAAAUGCGUAGAUAUUGGGAAGAACACCAGCGGCGAAAGCGUGUUACUGGGCCACAACUGACACUGAGGGACGAAAGCUAGGGGAGCGA